rnacentral:rRNA from 1 species
GAUGAACGCUAGCUACAGGCUUAACACAUGCAAGUCGAGGGGCAUCAGGAAGAAAGCUUGCUUUCUUUGCUGGCGACCGGCGCACGGGUGAGUAACACGUAUCCAACCUGCCCUUUACUCGGGGAUAGCCUUUCGAAAGAAAGAUUAAUACCCGAUAGCAUAAUGAUUCCGCAUGGUUUCAUUAUUAAAGGAUUCCGGUAAAGGAUGGGGAUGCGUUCCAUUAGGUUGUUGGUGAGGUAACGGCCCACCAAGCCUUCGAUGGAUAGGGGUUCUGAGAGGAAGGUCCCCCACAUUGGAACUGAGACACGGUCCAAACUCCUACGGGAGGCAGCAGUGAGGAAUAUUGGUCAAUGGGCGCUAGCCUGAACCAGCCAAGUAGCGUGAAGGAUGGAGGCUCUAUGGGUCGUAAACUUCUUUUAUAUAAGAAUAAAGUGCAGUAUGUAUACUGUUUUGUAUGUAUUAUAUGAAUAAGGAUCGGCUAACUCCGUGCCAGCAGCCGCGGUAAUACGGAGGAUCCGAGCGUUAUCCGGAUUUAUUGGGUUUAAAGGGAGCGUAGGUGGACUGGUAAGUCAGUUGUGAAAGUUUGCGGCUCAACCGUAAAAUUGCAGUUGAUACUGUCAGUCUUGAGUACAGUAGAGGUGGGCGGAAUUCGUGGUGUAGCGGUGAAAUGCUUAGAUAUCACGAAGAACUCCGAUUGCGAAGGCAGCUCACUGGACUGCAACUGACACUGAUGCUCGAAAGUGUGGGUAUCAAACAGGAUUAGAUACCCUGGUAGUCCACACAGUAAACGAUGAAUACUCGCUGUUUGCGAUAUACAGUAAGCGGCCAAGCGAAAGCAUUAAGUAUUCCACCUGGGGAGUACGCCGGCAACGGUGAAACUCAAAGGAAUUGACGGGGGCCCGCACAAGCGGAGGAACAUGUGGUUUAAUUCGAUGAUACGCGAGGAACCUUACCCGGGCUUAAAUUGCAGUGGAAUGAUGUGGAAACAUGUCAGUGAGCAAUCACCGCUGUGAAGGUGCUGCAUGGUUGUCGUCAGCUCGUGCCGUGAGGUGUCGGCUUAAGUGCCAUAACGAGCGCAACCCUUAUCUUUAGUUACUAACAGGUUAUGCUGAGGACUCUAGAGAGACUGCCGUCGUAAGAUGUGAGGAAGGUGGGGAUGACGUCAAAUCAGCACGGCCCUUACGUCCGGGGCUACACACGUGUUACAAUGGGGGGUACAGAAGGCAGCUAGCGGGUGACCGUAUGCUAAUCCCAAAAUCCUCUCUCAGUUCGGAUCGAAGUCUGCAACCCGACUUCGUGAAGCUGGAUUCGCUAGUAAUCGCGCAUCAGCCACGGCGCGGUGAAUACGUUCCCGGGCCUUGUACACACCGCCCGUCAAGCCAUGGGAGCCGGGGGUACCUGAAGUACGUAACCGCAAGGAUCGUCCUAGGGUAAAACUGGUGAAUG